rnacentral:lncRNA from 1 species
AGAUGUGAAAGCAAAUAUAUUAUUGUACGUUCUAAUAUAAGUUCUAAAAUGUUUUGAUAGCUCUGUAUUUUCCAAAUAAAGGUUUUUUAAUUCUAUUGGAAUCUCAUGUGAAGUUAAUUGAACAGAACCAUUGCUACAACAAAAUGCAGGCGGUUCAUAUUCAAAUCUUAUGGCUUUACAAAAUUGACAAUUUGAUACUUCUUUUAAU